UACGAAGGGGGCUAGCGUUGCUCGGAAUGACUGGGCGUAACGGGCGCGUAGGCGGAUGGCACAGUCAGAUGUGAAAUUCCCGGGCUUAACCUGGGGGCUGCAUUUGAUACGUGUUGUCUUGAGUUCGGAAGAGGGUCGUGGAAUUCCCAGUGUAGAGGUGAAAUUCGUAGAUAUUGGGAAGAACACCGGUGGCGAAGGCGGCGACCUGGUCCGACACUGACGCUGAGGCGCGAAAGCCAGGGGAGCAAACGGG
rnacentral:rRNA from 1 species